rnacentral:rRNA from 1 species
UAAACGACUCUCGGCAACGGAUAUCUCGGCUCUCGCAUCGAUGAAGAACGUAGCGAAAUGCGAUACUUGGUGUGAAUUGCAGAAUCCCGUGAACCAUCGAGUCUUUGAACGCAAGUUGCGCCCGAAGCCUUGGCUGAGGGCACGCCUGCCUGGGUGUCACGCAK